AUGCCCCAUGAUGUUCAGGUCCGCCGCAUCUCCUGGGUCGUGGGGUGGCCGGUCAAGAUUAAGUGCACAGUGGCAUCCUCGUUCCACGCUCUUGUUUUGACCGGCCCUCGA
rnacentral:sRNA from 19 species